rnacentral:rRNA from 1 species
AGUGAACGCUGGCGGGAGGAGGAACACAUGCAAGUCGAACGGCAGCACAGUAAGAGCUUGCUCUUACGGGUGGCGAGUGGCGGACGGGUGAGGAAUACAUCGGAAUCUACUUUUUCGUGGGGGAUAACGUAGGGAAACUUACGCUAAUACCGCAUACGACCUACGGGUGAAAGCAGGGGAUCUUCGGACCUUGCGCGAUUGAAUGAGCCGAUGUCGGAUUAGCUAGUUGGCGGGGUAAAGGCCCACCAAGGCGACGAUCCGUAGCUGGUCUGAGAGGAUGAUCAGCCACACUGGAACUGAGACACGGUCCAGACUCCUACGGGAGGCAGCAGUGGGGAAUAUUGGGCAAUGGGCGCGAGCCUGAUCCAGCCAUACCGCGUGGGUGAAGAAGGCCUUCGGGUUGUAAAGCCCUUUUGUUGGGAAAGAAAAGCAGCAGGUUAAUACCCCGCUGUUCUGACGGUACCCAAAGAAUAAGCACCGGCUCACUUCGUC